rnacentral:tRNA from 1 species
UGAUUAUUUAGUUUAAAAAAAACAAUUGUUUUGAAAACACUAGAUAAGGAAUACUCUCUUAAUAAUCAA